AUGCGCAGUGUGUUUAGUUGUACACAUGCCCAUCUGAGGCUUUUUUCCCUUUUCUGGUGGUGUGCCCUUGGAAGGUCAUACUCCGCCAUUUUGUCUCUUAAUGUGCAUGCCCAGGAAGUUCCUUCUCUCUGGCAUCUAUAUUCAGUGAAUACUUCAGUGCAGUAGCUGUGGAUCAUCAGGAAAUGACCUCUCCCUUGCACUGGCUACCAAUUUGUCACUUUUAGAGAGUCAGUUUGAUAAUUGUUGAACUGUACCCUUAACUUGUGAAAUUUGACCUCACUCUAGGUAAUGUCAGAAUUGCAUUGCACACACCUGGCACAUUGUCAGCAAGUUGCAGAAAACUAAAGAUAUUUUGAAAGCUGUCAGAGAAAAGUGACACAUUACAUAUAAGGGAAUUGUGAUUUGAAUGAUUGAUGUUUUCUCAUCAGAAAAAAAUAAUGGAGACCAGAAGACAGUGGAACAACACCUUUAAAGAAUAAAACAAAACUCAAAACUACAUUAAAUUCUAUAUCCAGUGAAAAUAAUCCUAAAAGAAUGAUGGUGAAGUAAAAUACAUUUCCAGAUAAAGAAAACUAAAAGUAUAUGUAGCCAGUGGACACUUACUAUAAGAAGUACCAAAGAAGUUCUUCAGGUUGAAGAGAAAUACAACCAGAUGGAAAAUCAGGUCUUCGGGGCAAAACAUAAAGAGCACUGAAAAUGAUAAUAUUGCAUCAUAGGAUUUAUAAUGUGUAUAAAUGUAAUGCAUUUGACAAAAAUAGCGAAAAGGAUGAAAAGGUAUUGAGCAGCAUUAUUCAGUCAACAUGUCCCGACGGUGUGUGGAGUGACCUUCUAGAUUUUGUGGGGAGUGAUGAUGGCAAUGUUUCCUGGAGAAGCAUGCUCAAUAAAGGAGAAAUGGGAUUAACACAACUGUGACAAAACUGCACUAAGUGAUUGGAAAGUAGGAAGCGUGUGGGCAAUUGAAUAGGCUACUGGCCUGAUUAAACCAGGAAAUCUCAGGCA